UACGGAGGAUGCAAGCGUUAUCCGGAAUGAUUGGGCGUAAAGCGUCCGCAGGUGGCUGUGUAAGUCUGCUGUCAAAGGGCGAAGCUCAACUUCGUAAAGGCAGUGGAAACUACACGGCUAGAGUGCGUUCGGGGCAGAGGGAAUUCCUGGUGUAGCGGUGAAAUGCGUAGAGAUCAGGAAGAACACCGGUGGCGAAGGCGCUCUGCUAGGCCGCAACUGACGCUGAGGAACGAAAGCCAGGGGAGCGAAAGGG
rnacentral:rRNA from 1 species